rnacentral:rRNA from 1 species
AAGUCUAACUGCCCACUGAAUUAUUUUAAAGGGCUGCAGUAUAUUGACUGUACAAAGGUAGCAUAAUCAUUAGUCUUUUAAUUGAAGACUUGUAUGAAUGAUUUGAUGAAAUAUAAACUGUCUCUUUAUUAAUAAUAGAAAUUAAUUUUUUAGUUAAAAAGCUAAAAUUUAUUUAAAAGACGAGAAGACCCUAUAGAGUUUUAUAUUUAAAUUUAUAUUAAUUCUUUAUAAAAUUUAUAUUUAAUAUUUUUUUAAUUAUUUUAUUGGGGUGAUAGAAAAAUUUAUUAAACUUUUUUUAAAAUUUUUACAUUAAUAUAUGAAAUUUUGAUCCAUAAUUUAUGAUUAAAAGAUUAAAUUACCUUAGGGAUAACAGCGUAAUUUUUUUUUUUAGUUCUUAUAAGAAAAAAAGUUUGCGACCUCGAUGUUGGAU